rnacentral:rRNA from 1 species
AAACCAACCGGGAUUGCCUCAGUAACGGCGAGUGAAGCGGCAAAAGCUCAAAUUUGAAAUCUGCGUAAGCCGAGUUGUAAUUUGAAGAUGGCUACUUUGGUAAUGGCUCUCGUCUAUGUUCCUUGGAACAGGACGUCACAGAGGGUGAGAAUCCCGUGCGAUGAGAUGUCCAU